GGUUAAGCGACUAAGCGUACACGGUGGAUGCCCUGGCAGUCAGAGGCGAUGAAGGACGUGCUAAUCUGCGAUAAGCGUCGGUAAGGUGAUAUGAACCGUUAUAACCGGCGAUUUCCGAAUGGGGAAACCCAGUGUGAUUCGUCACACUAUCAUUAACUGAAUCCAUAGGUUAAUGAGGCGAACCGGGGGAACUGAAACAUCUAAGUACCCCGAGGAAAAGAAAUCAACCGAGAUUCCCCCAGUAGCGGCGAGCGAACGGGGAGCAGCCCAGAGCCUGAAUCAGUGUGUGUGUUAGUGGAAGCGUCUGGAAAGGCGCGCGAUACAGGGUGACAGCCCCGUACACAAAAAUGCACAUGCUGUGAGCUCGAUGAGUAGGGCGGGACACGUGGUAUCCUGUCUGAAUAUGGGGGGACCAUCCUCCAAGGCUAAAUACUCCUGACUGACCGAUAGUGAACCAGUACCGUGAGGGAAAGGCGAAAAGAACCCCGGCGAGGGGAGUGAAAAAGAACCUGAAACCGUGUACGUACAAGCAGUGGGAGCACAGAGCAAUCUGUGUGACUGCGUACCUUUUGUAUAAUGGGUCAGCGACUUAUAUUCUGUAGCAAGGUUAACCGAAUAGGGGAGCCGAAGGGAAACCGAGUCUUAACUGGGCGUUAAGUUGCAGGGUAUAGACCCGAAACCCGGUGAUCUAGCCAUGGGCAGGUUGAAGGUUGGGUAACACUAACUGGAGGACCGAACCGACUAAUGUUGAAAAAUUAGCGGAUGACUUGUGGCUGGGGGUGAAAGGCCAAUCAAACCGGGAGAUAGCUGGUUCUCCCCGAAAGCUAUUUAGGUAGCGCCUCGUGAAUUCAUCUCCGGGGGUAGAGCACUGUUUCGGCAAGGGGGUCAUCCCGACUUACCAACCCGAUGCAAACUGCGAAUACCGGAGAAUGUUAUCACGGGAGACACACGGCGGGUGCUAACGUCCGUCGUGAAGAGGGAAACAACCCAGACCGCCAGCUAAGGUCCCAAAGUCAUGGUUAAGUGGGAAACGAUGUGGGAAGGCCCAGACAGCCAGGAUGUUGGCUUAGAAGCAGCCAUCAUUUAAAGAAAGCGUAAUAGCUCACUGGUCGAGUCGGCCUGCGCGGAAGAUGUAACGGGGCUAAACCAUGCACCGAAGCUGCGGCAGCGACGCUUAUGCGUUGUUGGGUAGGGGAGCGUUCUGUAAGCCUGCGAAGGUGUGCUGUGAGGCAUGCUGGAGGUAUCAGAAGUGCGAAUGCUGACAUAAGUAACGAUAAAGCGGGUGAAAAGCCCGCUCGCCGGAAGACCAAGGGUUCCUGUCCAACGUUAAUCGGGGCAGGGUGAGUCGACCCCUAAGGCGAGGCCGAAAGGCGUAGUCGAUGGGAAACAGGUUAAUAUUCCUGUACUUGGUGUUACUGCGAAGGGGGGACGGAGAAGGCUAUGUUGGCCGGGCGACGGUUGUCCCGGUUUAAGCGUGUAGGCUGGUUUUCCAGGCAAAUCCGGAAAAUCAAGGCUGAGGCGUGAUGACGAGGCACUACGGUGCUGAAGCAACAAAUGCCCUGCUUCCAGGAAAAGCCUCUAAGCAUCAGGUAACAUCAAAUCGUACCCCAAACCGACACAGGUGGUCAGGUAGAGAAUACCAAGGCGCUUGAGAGAACUCGGGUGAAGGAACUAGGCAAAAUGGUGCCGUAACUUCGGGAGAAGGCACGCUGAUAUGUAGGUGAAGUCCCUCGCGGAUGGAGCUGAAAUCAGUCGAAGAUACCAGCUGGCUGCAACUGUUUAUUAAAAACACAGCACUGUGCAAACACGAAAGUGGACGUAUACGGUGUGACGCCUGCCCGGUGCCGGAAGGUUAAUUGAUGGGGUCAGCGCAAGCGAAGCUCUUGAUCGAAGCCCCGGUAAACGGCGGCCGUAACUAUAACGGUCCUAAGGUAGCGAAAUUCCUUGUCGGGUAAGUUCCGACCUGCACGAAUGGCGUAAUGAUGGCCAGGCUGUCUCCACCCGAGACUCAGUGAAAUUGAACUCGCUGUGAAGAUGCAGUGUACCCGCGGCAAGACGGAAAGACCCCGUGAACCUUUACUAUAGCUUGACACUGAACAUUGAGCCUUGAUGUGUAGGAUAGGUGGGAGGCUUGGAAGUGUGGACGCCAGUCUGCAUGGAGCCGACCUUGAAAUACCACCCUUUAAUGUUUGAUGUUCUAACGUUGACCCGUAAUCCGGGUUGCGGACAGUGUCUGGUGGGUAGUUUGACUGGGGCGGUCUCCUCCUAAAGAGUAACGGAGGAGCACGAAGGUUGGCUAAUCCUGGUCGGACAUCAGGAGGUUAGUGCAAUGGCAUAAGCCAGCUUGACUGCGAGCGUGACGGCGCGAGCAGGUGCGAAAGCAGGUCAUAGUGAUCCGGUGGUUCUGAAUGGAAGGGCCAUCGCUCAACGGAUAAAAGGUACUCCGGGGAUAACAGGCUGAUACCGCCCAAGAGUUCAUAUCGACGGCGGUGUUUGGCACCUCGAUGUCGGCUCAUCACAUCCUGGGGCUGAAGUAGGUCCCAAGGGUAUGGCUGUUCGCCAUUUAAAGUGGUACGCGAGCUGGGUUUAGAACGUCGUGAGACAGUUCGGUCCCUAUCUGCCGUGGGCGCUGGAGAAUUGAGGGGGGCUGCUCCUAGUACGAGAGGACCGGAGUGGACGCAUCACUGGUGUUCGGGUUGUCAUGCCAAUGGCACUGCCCGGUAGCUAAAUGCGGAAGAGAUAAGUGCUGAAAGCAUCUAAGCACGAAACUUGCCCCGAGAUGAGUUCUCCCUGACUCCUUGAGAGUCCUGAAGGAACGUUGAAGACGACGACGUUGAUAGGCCGGGUGUGUAAGCGCAGCGAUGCGUUGAGCUAACCGGUACUAAUGAACCGUGAGGCUUAACCUU
rnacentral:rRNA from 1 species